GAAGCUCAGUGGUAGAGGGUGUGCUUGGCAUGCAUGAGGGCCUGGGUUUGAUUCCCAGC
rnacentral:tRNA from 1 species